rnacentral:rRNA from 1 species
AACGAACGCUGGCGCAAGGAAGAACACAUGCAAGUCGAGCGCGCCCUUCGGGGUGAGCGGCGGACGGGUGAGUAACGCGUGGGAACGUGCCCUUUUCUACGGAAUAGCCUCGGGAAACUGAGAGUAAUACCGUAUACGCCCUUUGGGGGAAAGAUUUAUCGGAAAAGGAUCGGCCCGCGUUGGAUUAGGUAGUUGGUGGGGUAAUGGCCUACCAAGCCGACGAUCCAUAGCUGGUUUGAGAGGAUGAUCAGCCACACUGGGACUGAGACACGGCCCAGACUCCUACGGGAGGCAGCAGUGGGGAAUCUUAGACAAUGGGGGCAACCCUGAUCUAGCCAUGCCGCGUGAGUGAUGAAGGCCUUAGGGUUGUAAAGCUCUUUCAGCUGGGAAGAUAAUGACGGUACCAGCAGAAGAAGCCCCGGCUAACUCCGUG